AGCGGCAGCACAGGGGUUUGUGUGUGUAAACACAGAAAUCUCUGUGCUGUCAGAGAGAAGACAGAUUGUGUGUUUCCACAAAGUAGAAACAGCAAUCUCUCAUC